AGUCUUAUAUUCAAGUAUGAUUUAAAAUUGCAAAUUUUAAGGUAUAAUAUAAUUAUUAUUAAGGCUU
rnacentral:tRNA from 1 species